UUCGGUGUCAUUCCUGUCCGCCACGGAGGCAGAGACUGCCCUCAGAUGCCUGGCUCCAGGUGCCCGGCCCUUCAGGGGGGCGGUCCGCAGGGAGCUCACAGUGACUGGCAGCCAGCUGCUUAUCCGAAUAGCUGCCGAAAACUCUGGUCUUCUUCAGGUUUCCAUAGCCUCCUUGUUCAACCAGCUGUCCUUGGUGGUGCAGGCCAUGCAGCGCUUUGUGCCUCCAGGGACAUCUCACCGUGGCACAAGGGUGUGAGGCCCAAUCCUGAGUCUGGCCCUAGGCUGAGCGACUUUCUCUAGGGCAGAGACUCCUGGCAUUUGGAGAGAGAACCAGUGGCUCUCUGCUAUGGCCUGAGAAAGCAGUAGAAGAUGGCCCAAGUCAUUUGGGCCCCUGCACCCACGUGGGAGACCCGGAAGAAGCUCCUAGCUCCUGGCUUCAGAUCGGCGCAGCUCUGGCCAUUGCAGCCAAUUGGGAGUGAACCAGCGGGUGGAAGGCCAACCUCUCUCUCUCUCUCUCUCUCUCUCUCUCUCUCUCUGCCUCCUCUUCUC